GAUGAACGCUGGCGGCGUGCCUAAUACAUGCAAGUCGAACGAGGUGCUUUUGUAGCAAUACGAAAGUAUCCUAGUGGCGAACGGGUGAGUAACGCGUUGGUGACCUACCCCAAAGUGUGGGAUAACAGUUCGAAAGAACUGCUAAUACCGCAUGUGGUUAUCGGAUUUAGAAACUGAUAACUAAAGGAGCAAUUCGCUUUGGGAGGGACCUGCGUCCCAUCAGCUAGUUGGUGAGGUAAUGGCUCACCAAGGCUACGACGGGUAGGGGACCUGAGAGGGUGACCCCCCCACAAUGGAACUGAAACACGGUCCAUACACCUACGGGUGGCAGCAGUAGGGAAUAUUGCACAAUGGGCGAAAGCCUGAUGCAGCAACGCCGCGUGUGCGAUGAAGGCCCUCGGGUCGUAAAGCACUUUUCUGAGAGAUGAGCAAGGACAGUAUCUCAGGAAUAAGUCUCGGCUAACUACGUGCCAGC
rnacentral:rRNA from 1 species